ACUCAGUCCUCUCAAUAACCCUCUGGAGAGGCAUCCAGUAUUGUCCCCUCUACUUCACAGAUGAGGAAACUGAGGCACAGAGAAAUUGAGUAACUUCCCCAAGGUUAUACGACCACACAUUUUCUUGGGCAAGUCUACUGAUCCAAGACAUCCACAGUUCUGGGGAAAACACUGGAAGGUCAUUUGUCAAGUGUCUUCUAGUUCUAACACUGAAAACACGUUUCUGCAGCAGUUGAGCCCCCACAGAACCCUUUAAGACGACGCGGCUGACCUUAGGGACCGAGAUGGUAGCGGCUGGUUCCAGGCAGCAAGAUGGAGGAAGGGACAAGGAAGAGAGCAAAGCUACUCACCUGACACUGGACACUUCUGCUCACAUCCUGUUGGCCAGAACUUAGUCACAGGACCUGACCUAAACUACAAAGAAGCCUUGAAAAUUAGUCUUUUCUUUCCGGGUGAAAAUGUUCAGCCCCAGCUGCAAAUUCUAUUAUGUGGAAAAAAGAGAGACAGGAUCUUGAGGAACAACUAGAAGUUUCUACCAACACAAAAUCGUCUUUCUGGAUUUAGCCUAAAGGUUCAUGUGGAUAAAGAAAAGAUCCAUUUAUUCAUUCAUUCAAUGACUCACUUAGUUGUUUAACUCAACAGAUAUUUAUUGAGUACCUACUAUGUGCUAGGCACUGUUCUGUGGGCUGAGCUAUACUCGUGAGUUAAACAGGGUUCCCUGCCCUCAUGAAGCCUAUUACAUCCUAGCAGGGAAGAAAGACAACAAGUAAUAAAGAUAAGGAAUUAAAGGACACAGUAUAUUAGAAGAGGUAAAUUAUUAUAGCAGAAAGGAAAACUGAGACGGGAGCGUGGAAGUGAGCGGGGGUUGCGAUUUCACAUGGGUGCUCAGGGGUUGGCCUCAUCGUGAAGGUGAUGUUUGUGAAGAGACUUGAAGUAGGUGAAUAAGCGAGCCUCGCAGACAUCCAGGGAAACAGGCUCC
rnacentral:lncRNA from 1 species